rnacentral:rRNA from 1 species
AACGAACGCUGGCGGCGCGUCUUAAACAUGCAAGUCGAACGAUCUGUAGCAAUACAGGGAGUGGCGGACGGGUGAGGAACACGUAGGAAUCUACCUUGAAGAGCGGGACAACUUUGGGAAACCGGGGCUAAUACCGCAUAGUACAGAGAUGUUAAAGGGCUAGCAAUAGUCGCUUCGAGAUGAGCCUGCGGUCUAUCAGCUUGUUGGUGAGGUAAUGGCUCACCAAGGCUACGACGGAUAGCCGGUCUGAGAGGAUGAUCGGCCACACUGGCACUGAGACACGGGCCAGACUCCUACGGGAGGCAGCAGUUAAGAAUCUUGCGCAAUGGGGGAAACCCUGACGCAGCGACGCCGCGUGAAGGAUGAAGGCUUUCGGGUUGUAAACUUCGGUAGACUGGGAAGAAGAAAUACGUUCGUUGAGGGCGUAUAGUGACGGUACCAGUCUGAAGCCCCGGCUAAUUACGUGCCAGCAGCCGCGGUAAU